CCAGGGUCCAGUAAUUGCCUUUACCUGCAGAAGAAGAAACAGCCCAGUUCAGAAGGUUCGAGCUUUGACGGGCCGUGGUGUGAGCCAGCGAGGAGGUCAGCUUCAGAAAGAUCCCCUGCUGGCCCUUACAGAGGGUCUGAGUCCUCGCCCCCAUUCCACCCUUGACGGGCACUCUGUACCCGAUGGGCCUCCACAGCAGGACUGGGAAGAAAGUGACAAUCCAGAAAGGAGGAGGAAGGGAGCCCUGGGAAAGGCCGAGCCCCGUUAAGGUGAAGGAAGGCCUGCGAGAUGCUAAUGGUGGGACUCCGCCAGCCGCUCUGCCAAGGACAGCGCAGACCACGCCAGGCCCCCAGCCUAGCCUCACUUGUUAUCAGAGCAGCAAGAGAACAUGGAAGCUUGCUAAGAGGGCUCCUUCCUGAGUGGCCCAGACAUCACCCUCCUUGCUCAUAGAAGUCAUCAAGGAAGCACUGGAAUGGUCUUUCCUACUCAUCCCCAAGUCCCCCAGCUACCACCCCUAGCUACCACCCCUAGUUCAGGCCAGCCUUGGACUAGGGUGUCUGUGUGCUAAGUGUUGCUCUAAGGACCACCUUGACAUUCUCUUCCCAGGAUCUCAGGCCUGCUGCUUUUGGUAGAAGAAGCCUUCAGCAGGCCGGGGUGGAAUGGAAGUUAUCUUUAAAAACAACAAAGUUUACUCUCUGCAAAAUUGCGUGUGGUGUUAGGUAGAAUAAUGGCCUGUAAAAAUGUUCAUGCCCUAACCACCAGAUCCGGUGAAUGUGUCAUGCUACCUGGCAAGAAAGACUUAAGGUUGCAGAAGGAAUUAAGCUUAUGAAUUGGUUGACCCCAACGUGGAGAGAGUACCUUGAAUUAUCCAGGUGCACCCAGUGUAAUCAGAAGUGUUCUUAAAAGUGAAAGAGGGAGCCAGAAAAAGACAGUAAAGUGGAGAGGUGAUAUGGAAUGAGAGAGGGGCAGAGAGAGACGAUGUUACUAGCUUUGAAGGUAGAGGAAAGGGCCAUGAGCCAAGCAAUGUGGGCAGCCCCCAGAAACAGAAAGGGCAGGUGAAGGAAUUCUCCUGCAGAGCCUCCAGACCCGAACCCAGACCUGCUUGCACCUUGAUUUUAGCCCACGAGACCAAUGUCAAGCUUCUUUUUUUCAGCUUUAUUGAAUUAUAAUUAACAAAUACAAUUGCAUAUAUUUAAAGUGUACAAUGUGAUGAUUUGACAUACGCGUACAUUGUGAAAUGACUACCACAAUCAAGUUCAUUAACACAGCCAUCACCUCACAUAGUUACCUUUUGCUGACAGGAGUGAACCCUUGAGGUCUACUCUCUUAGCAAAUUAUAAGUACACAAUACAGCGUUGUUAACUACAGUCUCCGGACUGUGUGAGAACUCCAGAACUUGCUGAUCUUAUACCUGAAACUCUGCACCUUGAACCAACAUUUCCCACUUCCUCCAUCCCACAACCACCCUUCUAGGCUGUUUUUCUAUAGGUUUACCUCAUUUAUUUUAGGUUCCACAUAUACAUGAUAACAUAAAGUAUCUGUCUUUCUGUGUCUGGCUUAUUUCACAUAGCAUAAUGCAUUCCAGGUCCAUCCAUGUUGCCACAAAUGGCAGGAUUUCCCAAUGUUGAACUUCUAUCCUAUGGAACUGUAAAAUAAUAAAUUUGUUUGUUUAAGCCACUAAGUUGUGUUAAUUCAUUACAGCAGCAAGGGGAAAGGAAUACAUUUUGAAUACAGGUACUGUGAUAAGUAAGUGGGAGGACCAAGGAGAAUAAAUUAUGCCCAAAGGCUUUGCAAUAGAUUGGUUUACCCUAAUGCUGUUGUAAUAAAACUUACUAGUCAUAGCUGUCUCUGAUGCAGAUCAACCUUGCCAGGGUUUUAAUGAAUUUUUUUGAAGAAAGUCAGUACAUUCCAGUGAAGUCCAUUUUACCCUGACCAGCUGUUUCUAUAUUGAAAGAAAAAUAAUAAGUAUGAAGACAGGAAAAAAAGAAAAUCAUUAUUAGGGUGGUUGUUUUGUAGGCAGUUUUGAUUUGGACUACUGACUUCUGAGAUUUCUAAGCUGAGAGGGAUAGUAGCUGGAAGAAACUUUGCAACUAAAAUUCUACAAGUUUAUGUUUUUUCUUAAACUUUUAAAGUGUUCUCCUGUACACUUCUUUUUUGACAGCAAGUUUUUGAAUGACUUGUCUUUUCCAACUUGGUUUUCAUAAAACCCAUAACUAAUUCUGCAUUUACAUUUCAACAGUUUGCAACAUGAUAAUAAAAACUUUAAGGAACUGGCAUAAACCAACUUGGGAGCAGACAUAACUGAUCCUUGGUGAGCUGACAGUUCAGCUGGUGGAGGAAGAAUGUUCUGGAACCUGUCAUCUGUGGGGAGAAGGAUUCAGGAAGCAUGGCUGUCUGCAUGUUGCUAUGAACUUACGUUGCCUGCAAGGGCCCCCUCAGGCCAUGGGAAGGGUCUACAAAUGUGUUCACCACAUGAAACUUGCCUGAGUCAAAUAUGCUCCAAUCAGCUUAGACCACUGUUGAUUUCUACUCCAGUUUCUUCUCACUCUGGGUGAUGUGGAGUGGCUGAUAGCAAUUUUGGGGUUGGCUCAAGGAAGCUGAGCUGGAGAUACAUUUAGCUUGGGUUUGGUGGGACACAUGAUUUGCAAUGGCUUUCAUGUGUAAAAAUAUUAUUAUAGCCACAGUUUUAAGCCAGCAACACACACUGUUAGAUCCGUAACCAGGUUUGAAGUUAUCAUAUGCUAAAGAUAACACUACUACACUAUAAGGCCUUUCCUAUGCUGCUAGUGUGCCAGGAACUGUGAGGGGUCUGAGGCUUUACUUUACUUGUAAGAUCACAAAUGAGCCUCCCAGUUUCAUGGAUGUUGGUAGAAGACAUGAGACUCCUGGGCCAGAGACAAAGGACUUCAGUAGUCAUGGCAGAGCAGGCAGCAUGAACUCCUGUUCCUAUCAGUUCCUUUUGUUCCCUAGGGUUCAUAGGGGUGACACAGAGUGGCCCUAGUGGAUGCCAUGCAGAGAGCGAGUCUGCAUCACAUCUGAGGAUCACCAAGUUUAGGAGAUGCACCCCUUUUAAGAGACUAUUAGCAAACUUUCCCAACCUUUACCUAGAAGAAACAUUAUCUUUACUAUCCUGGUCAGGAAACAAAUCUGCCCUCUGACCUGGAGGGAGAUAUGAUCGCUGUCUUCCAAGGUCACUUGUUAUGCUAACAUUCUUGGAAAGAUAAUCCAGGGGGUAAAAAAGUCAUCAGUUUCUUUGCUGAAAAGGUGUGCAGAAAUAUUAGAGAUCCAUGAAGAAAUAUCUCCAGUACAGUGCUAUAUCCACAGGCGUUGAUUCCUUAACCUAAAGGCGGGAGAAUCUCUCCUUAGCCUCUCACUAGCAGCUGACAGCCUUUCUCACCUCCCUAGCUGAGUCCAGCACACUUUUCUUUUCUUUUUUUCUUUUUCUUUUUUUUUUUUUUGAGACAGAGUCUCGCUCUGUCACCCAGGCUGGAGUGCAGUGGCACGAUCUCGGCUCACUGCAAGCUCUGCCUCCUGGGUUCACGCCAUUCUCCUGCCUCAGCCUCCUGAGUAGCUGGGACUAUAGGCCAGCACACUUUUCUAAUCUUAUCCUGUCUCCUUCUACCUCCCUGCACAUCAGUCAUGUAAAUUCACCUGUCCAAGCACAUCUAUAUAGGUUCUUUUCAAAUUUCCUGCAGAUUUGUCAUGGAAUAUUGACAUCAAAGAUAAGACAAAAAAAAAGCCACUACAAUGUGAAUAUUGACAACAAACUGGUUAAUGAAGGUCUUCAAUUUAAAAAGAAUAUAAGAUUAAUCCCUGCAGAAGAUAACCUCAAGUGCCCUGAAAUUUUACAACUCAUAUGUGAAAGACUUCAUAGAAGUUUUUCCAAAUAUGGCGAUAAUCCUAGACAUUUCGUGAGUUUGAGAAGCUAAAAGGAACUUUCCUAAGUCACCAGUAAUAAAAAAUAAAUUUUGGCCCACCAUGGCAGAAGGAAGACCGGAUUAUCUGCCUAGUCUAGAUAGAGCUGCUCAAUCCAAUAUGGUGGCCACUAGCCACUUGUGACUACUGGGCAUUCAAAAUGUGGCCAGUGCACAUUGAGAAGUGAUGUGAGUGUAAAACGCACACCAGAUUUCAAAGACUUACUAAAAAAAAAAGAAUGUAACAUUCCACAUUGGCAUAUUUUAUACUAAUUAUAUGUUCAUAUUACAAUAUUUGGCUAUAUUAGGUUAAUAAAG
rnacentral:lncRNA from 1 species